CGUGUUUCCUGUGCUGAGGAGCGAUCAGAAAUGGCAGAGAACAGAUUUGAGCUGAGGUUCGCUUGCCUCAUGGUAGGGGGAGCUCAUGAUCCCAGAUAUUGUGACUCCACACAUACAGAGUAACAGACAGU